UUGUCUCCUCAUGUAUGGGACUAUACAAAUCAAAAUUGAAGAGUCAUCCUUGACACUCCUUUCUCCUUAACCACCGUGUCAUAUCUACUCUGGAGGAAAGUGGAGCAAGAUGGCUGAAGAGAAACCCUACUGAUCAUCCUCCCCACAGGAACACCAACUUGAACAACUAUGCACACAAAAAAGCACCUUCAUAAGAACCAAAAAUCAGGAAUGGUUUUGCCCUAAAGUUUACUUUGUCUGAUAUUAGUCCAGCUACACCAGAUUUCUUGUGAAUAUCUCAAAUAGUGGUUACUUCUACUGGCUGGUUUUUGCAAUGAAGACAAUAUAUGGUGAAGAACUAAAGCCAACUCAGAGCUACUGUGGUCAACAUAAAAUGCUCUGAAGUUUAGUCCUUCCCCCAAGCCUAUGGAACUUCCAGAAGCCUUCCUCAUCUUUUCAGCUUCUUAAGCACCACCAUCUGCUUGUCUUCUUUGCUUCUCAGACACAGUAUUUUGCUCAGCUUCCUGGCCUCUCAGAAGGCAGUUUGGAUUUUCAAAGGCCUUGAAAGGCACUGUGAUCAACCAGCCAACACUAAAGAUUUCUGGGAGCCAGACUCUUCUAAUCACUGCUUUGACUCUGCUGGCAAUUAUGGAGCUGGCUAAGCAGUCUCUGUAUGGCUGUUUUCUCACACAUGAUGCUGAGGCUUCAAGAUCACAGGGAUGGCAGUCAGAAAAGGAAAAACACAAGCAGGCUGGAACCAACAAGCUUAAGCUGGAACUCCGUGGAGAAGGACUAAAACCUGUGUUCAUUCUUGUUGCCUCUAACCUUGGUAAUGAGGGUAUCCAGCAGAAGUGGGGCCCUUUGUCACAAAGUGAAACACACACCCCUGGUCUAGGAGUCUGAGAAGCUGAAAGAAUAUCAGCGGCAGGUAGAGCAGCCACAGAAUCAGAUGCUGCUUCACACCAGUAGGGUGAAUCUACAGAUCAGCAACAAUAUGUGUGAGCCACAAAAUGGCCACUGCUUCUCUUUCAGCCUCUAAAUGUCUCAAGAAUCUUCCCUAUGUCUUACCUCAACUCAAAACAAACAAGAGAAAAAAUUCUGGGAAAUGCAAUUCAGCCUAGACAAGGUGACAUAUGAGAAAGCCAUUACAAGAUAGUUUGCUCAAAGUAGGAUCCAAAUUAUGUCCAUACUCAAAUGAAAAUAUUAUCCAAGCUGGGAGAAUGUGUGGUUCCAAAGACUGACUACAAAAUAAAUUAUGAGCUUAAAUGGAUUAAAAUCAUAUUAAAUAUGUAGAAACUUCAAAACUCCACAAAUCCAAAGUAUGUCAUGUACGGAUAGAAAUUUUUUCUUCACUGAUGAGAUAGAAAAAGAAUUUGUCUGGCACAAUGUAUGACCCUUUGUCUAUUCAAAAAUGAUCACAGCUAAUGCAAAACAUUUAACAGAAAGAUAAAUUUAAUGUUAACAAGCACAUUUGAUAAUUGUCCCAGGAAAGAUUAUAGGUAACUGGAUGGAAGUAUUUUUCAAGUAAUCUAGGAUAGUCAACAUUUUAAAUGCACCACAGAGACAUUUAUCUCAGCAAUUCAGCAAAGCAGCAUCAACUCUUGAGCCAGAAUAAAAGCUUUCAGCUUCUCUUUUGAGAAGAUUCUGAGCAUUUACUUCAUUUAUAGUAAGGCUCUCUCAAAUUUUUCUCUAAGAUUUCCCAGAACCUUUCUGAGGCUUCAUGCAAUUUAUAUAAGUCACUUAACAAGCACUUGUUGAGCUGUUACCAUGUGUCUGGCACUCUUCUAGGUGCUCUCUAUAGACAAAGAAUAAAAUAGACAAUCUAUU
rnacentral:lncRNA from 1 species